AUACGGAGGGUGCAAGCGUUACUCGGAAUCACUGGGCGUAAAGCGCGCGCAGGCGGCUAUUUAAGUUGGAUGUGAAAGCCUAUGGCUCAACCAUAGAACUGCAUCCAAAACUAUUUAGCUAGAGUGUGGGAGAGGAAGAUGGAAUUAGUUGUGUAGGGGUAAAAUCCGUAGAGAUAACUAGGAAUACCAAAAGCGAAGGCAAUCCUCUGGAACACUACUGACGCUGAGGCGCGAAAGCGUGGGGAGCAAACAGGAUUAGAUACCCUAGUAGUCC
rnacentral:rRNA from 1 species